UACGUAGGGUGCGAGCGUUGUCCGGAAUUAUUGGGCGUAAAGAGCUCGUAGGCGGUGUGUCACGUCGGCCGUGAAAACCUGCAGCUUAACUGUGGGCGUGCGGUCGAUACGGGCAUCACUGGAGUUCGGCAGGGGAGACUGGAAUUCCUGGUGUAGCGGUGAAAUGCGCAGAUAUCAGGAGGAACACCGAUGGCGAAGGCAGGUCUCUGGGCCGAUACUGACGCUGAGGAGCGAAAGCGUGGGGAGCGAACAGG
rnacentral:rRNA from 1 species